UCGAGACGGCGAAAGAACUUUGCAAAGGCUUUUCCUCUCUCUCCCCCCCCCCCCUCCCCAACUGUUUAUGGGGAAGGGGAACUUGGACGCCGGGCCUUCUUGGGAAGGAAGGAAGGAAGGGAAGGAUGCAUGCAUGGUCUCCAUCUCAUCCCUGGCAAAUUCCAUAGCUGUAGCAUUUUCAGCAUCUUGUUCGUUUCCUUCAAGGAUCUCCAAGGCCGCUGUGGGAUUUAGCAAGCGGAGCAGAGAUUCCAGAGAGUGUCGCCUUGCAGACAGCAUGGAAGAGGACGAGGAAAAGAGGGGAGCGGCACGUUUUUUUUGCCAGUUCUUCUCCCCCACACCCUCAAAAAAACACCGCCCUCCUCCUUGGAUUCCUUGAUUCUUGACGUUCAUGAGAGAUGGAUUAUUUCCCCACUGUGAUUGGAAUUCGGCAUGGAGCUUUUUGAUGAUGGUCCGGUUUCAUUCUGGAAAGCAACAAAGGGCGCAAAUAAUUCGAAUCUGAGAUGGCUCCCAGUCUUCCCCAACAACGGUCGAGUGUCUUGCUGAGGGCAACACUUUGGUCACCCAUGUUGGUUUCCUGCAUUCCGGUGUCUGGAAGAAGUGGUUUCGAAUGUUCCUGGAAUUUAGCAGCAGAUCCGGGCUCUGCGUUUGAUUUUGGGGUAGUGCACAAUGGCCAGAGAAAGUCCCAUUUGAUAAGUGAGUGGAAAUUACAUGAUUGAAUCAGAAAGAAUGAUGUGGAGAUGGAACAGUGCUUAGGUGAGCAUGAGAGCUGGGAUAGAUUGCCAUUUUGUCUUCAUACUCUUUCUGUUCCCCAGUUCAUUAGGCUCAAGCAAAAUUUUCCGGUGCAAUGAAGAUCAGCAUUUUGCAGGUCAAAUCCAAACCGGUAAUCUACACAUGAAGAACCUAGAAGGAGCAACUUUCAAGCGCCAAGGAUGACUACUAGAUUCUUGAACGCAAAGCAGUUGGCGAGCACAUUAAUUAUAACAAUUACUACAAUAAAGCAUAUAAGGAA